AUACGGAGGGUGCAAGCGUUAAUCGGAAUUACUGGGCGUAAAGCGUACGUAGGCGGCAAGUUAAGUUAGAUGUGAAAGCCCCGGGCUCAACCUGGGAACUGCAUUUAAAACUGGCUUGCUAGAGUUGAGUAGAGGGGAGUGGAAUUUCAGGUGUAGCGGUGAAAUGCGUAGAGAUCUGAAGGAACACCAGUGGCGAAGGCGACUCCCUGGACUCGAACUGACGCUGAGGUACGAAAGCGUGGGUAGCAAACAGGAUUAGAAACCCCGGUAGUCC
rnacentral:rRNA from 1 species